CGGGGCAGCGGCGCCUACGACCCUGCGAGUCGGCAGUGCGGAGCGGACGAAGGGAGAGGAGGCGGCAGCCAAGCCAGCAGCACCAUGGUCUCCGCCGGCCGCGCGCUGCUCUGGGCCCUGCGGCUGAGUCUGGGGUCCCCGGCGGCGGCGGAGCGCCAAUGCCAAGCGACCCCAGCCGGGACGCGGGCCGUCAGCCUCCUCCUCGGGGACCCGCCGUCCCCGCCGCACGAGGGUGCCCGAGCAGGACGAGAAUGACGCCCUGGCUGGCCGGGCCGCCGCCGGGCUCCUGGCCACGGUGACCGGCACCAGCCGGGCCUCGGGCCGCUCUCUGGAGGAGGGGGUGGUGAUCUCCGAGGCAGGGCUGGGAAGCUGCGCGGCCUCUCCGGGCGCCUCCGCGUCGGGGCGCUAAGCCUGCUGCGGACCGAGCACCGGCCUUGCACCUAAGCAGUGCACCUGCGACCGGCGCCGCGAGGAGGGUCCGCUGAACUCCAGCCCCCGCGCCGACGCGGGCUGCAGCUCCCCGCCCACUGCACCUCCACCACCGCCUCUCCCCUGCACCCCCGUGCACCUGUGGCGCAGGCCCAGCCCCAGCCCCGCGCUGGCCUUCUGGAAACUGGUGAGGAUGGACCUGGAGGCCGUCUGGAACCGCCUGUCUUCGGUGUACACAGAAACGCGGCCGACACAUGUAAGCCAGAGGCAAUGGCCACUUCAUCCAUAAGAGGCCGUGUCAGCAUCUCAACCUCUCCUCUCAAUCCCAGCACCCACUAGUUAUUUUUAGUACGGAAAAAUAAAAUUGAACAAAACAUU